CACCAUCCGCCAUUGCCAAAAAUCGCCUCACAGCGAGGCGAGUCCCCAAUAGCCACAAAAUUUACACCACUAGUUCGUCUCCUCACCCUCAUACCCAUGCCAUAAUCAGCUUCCCCCGAAACCCAUCCAAGUCCUUUGAAUUUUGAUUUGAAAUCAAAAACCCUAGCGCCGCCACAAUUUCUCUGGUGGCGGCACCGCUUCUGUUCGAUCCCAAAAUAACACCAGGUGACCACCAAACCUUCCCUAUCCCAAAUCCCUA
rnacentral:lncRNA from 1 species